GGAUGUCAUUACUCAUAUCAAUGCUAAAUCUUAUGUAAUUCUUACAGUAUGCCUUGCAUUAUUUUUACAUAUCCUUGGCAGUACUCAAGCUUUAUUGCCUGCCUAAAAUUUGUGAUCUUCUUUGAUCUAUUGUCUUAGAAGCUUAUAUGUUCUGUAGUCUGGAAAAUAUGUACAUCCAUUUGUCAUACCUACUAUUGAAGGACUGUUAAUCUACAUUUUGCCCUUUAUGCUGUUG
rnacentral:misc_RNA from 1 species